GAUGAACGCUAGCGGGAGGCCUAAUACAUGCAAGUCGAACGGUAAGGCUCCUUCGGGAGUACACGAGUGGCGAACGGGUGCGUAACGCGUACGAAACAUGCCUUUAUCAGGAGGAUAGCCCCAGGAAACUGGGAAUAAUACUCCAUAGUAUUGUAUCACCGCAUGGUGUUUACAAUUAAAGCUCCGGCGGAUAAAGAUUGUCGUGCGUCCCAUUAGCUAGUUGGUGAGGUAACUGCUCACCAAGGCGACGAUGGGUAGCUGGUUUGAGAGGAUGAUCAGCCACACUGGUACUGAGACACGGACCAG
rnacentral:rRNA from 1 species